rnacentral:rRNA from 1 species
UAGUCCACGCCGUAAACGAUGGAUACUAGUUGUUGGAUUUUCGGAUUCAGUGACUAAGCGAAAGUGAUAAGUAUCCCACCUGGGGAGUACGGUCGCAAGAUUGAAACUCAAAGGAAUUGACGGGGGCCCGCACAAGCGGUGGAGCAUGUGGUUUAAUUCGAUGAUACGCGAGGAACCUUACCAGGGCUUAAAUGUAAGUUGCAUAGAGUAGAGAUAUUCUUUUCUUCGGACUACUUACAAGGUGCUGCAUGGUUGUCGUCAGCUCGUGCCGUGAGGUGUCAGGUUAAGUCCUAUAACGAGCGCAACCCCUACCGUUAGUUGCCAGCAUGUAAAGAUGGGGACUCUAGCGGGACUGCCAGUGCAAACUGUGAGGAAGGUGGGGAUGACGUCAAAUCAUCACGGCCCUUACGUCCUGGGCUACACACGUGCUACAAUGGUAUAGACAGAGAGCAGCCACUACGCGAGUAGGAGCGAAUCUACAAACUAUAUCUCAGUUCGGAUCGG